rnacentral:rRNA from 1 species
UACGUAGGGUGCGAGCGUUAAUCGGAAUUACUGGGCGUAAAGCGUGCGCAGGCGGUUAUGCAAGACAGAUGUGAAAUCCCCGGGCUCAACCUGGGAACUGCAUUUGUGACUGCAUGGCUAGAGUACGGUAGAGGGGGAUGGAAUUCCGCGUGUAGCAGUGAAAUGCGUAGAUAUCUGGAGGAACACCGGUGGCGAAGGCGGCAUCCUGGACCAAUACUGACGCUGAGGAGCGAAAGCCAGGGGAGCAAACGGG